GAUGAACGCUCGCGGCAGGCCUAAUACAUGCAAGUCGGACGGGAUUCAGGAGCUUGCUUCUGAUGAGAGUGGCGCACGGGUGCGUAACACGUAUGUAACCUACCUUUAUCAGGGGGAUAGCCUCUCGAAAGAGAGAUUAAGCCCGCAUAAAAUCACAGCACAGCAUUGUGUAAUGAUCAAAUAUUUAUAGGAUAAAGAUGGGCAUGCGGAACAUUAGCUAGAUGGCGGGGUAACGGCCCACCAUGGCGACGAUGUUUAGGGGAUCUGAGAGGAUGGCCCCCCACACUGGUACUGAGACACGGACCAGACUCCUACGGGAGGCAGCAGUAAGGAAUAUUGGUCAAUGGGCGGAAGCCUGAACCAGCCAUGCCGCGUGCAGGAAGACGGCCCUACGGGUUGUAAACUGCUUUUAUACGGGAAUAAACCCAGAUACGUGUAUCUGGCUGAAUGUACUGGAAGAAUAAGGAUCGGCUAACUCCGUG
rnacentral:rRNA from 1 species